rnacentral:rRNA from 1 species
AUACGUAGGGGGCGAGCGUUGUCCGGAAUGACUGGGCGUAAAGGGCGUGUAGGCGGUUGAAUAAGUCUGGAGUGAAAGUCCCGGUUUCAAGUUGGGAACUGCUUUGGAUACUGUUCAACUUGAGUGCGGAAGAGGUAAGUGGAAUUCCCAGUGUAGCGGUGAAAUGCGUAGAGAUUGGGAGGAACACCAGUGGCGAAGGCGACGUACUGGACUGUAACUGACGCUGAGGCGCGAAAGUGUGGGGAGGAAACAGGAUUAGAUACCCUGGUAGUCCACACUGUAAACGAUGAAUGCUAGGUGGAGGGGGACUGACACCUUCCGUGCCGCAGUUAACACAAUAAGUAAUCCACCUGGGGGGUACGGCCGCAAGGUGGAAACUCAAAGGAAUUGGCAGGG